GCCGGGUGUGGUGACUCACGCCUGUAAUCCUAGCUCUUUGGGAGGCAAAGAUGGGUGGAUCACCUGAGGUCAGGAGUUUUGAGACCAGCCUGGCCAACAUGGUGAAACCCCGUCUCUA
rnacentral:sRNA from 1 species